AGGCUGCUGCGCUCUGGUGCCACCAGGGAUGAGAACAACGGCCCUGUGGCCACUGCCAGCUCCAGCUCCAGCAGCCCCAGCAGCUCCCAGACCAGCAUCUCCUGGAUGGGGGCUCCUGCCCAUGACCCCAAAGUCUAUGAUGUGGAGGAGGAAGCUGGCACAUUGGAGGCUGCUUUCCCUGGGGGUCCCAGCCACCCCCCACCUGUGCCGGUCCCCGUGGAGCGGGAGAGGCCCCCGGAGGAACCACAGCAGGAGUCUGUCUCCACAGAAGACCCACAUCAUUUUUGUGCUGAGGACCCUAGAGUUGGGUGCACACCUCCCUUGACUUGCUGAAUAGACUUCAUUUCAUGCAGUCCAGGAUAUCACUGGCAUUCCAGGUCUCCUGCACAUGUUGUACCUCUACCUGGAGAAGGACUGGGAGUAUGCUCUGCCUUCCUGAUGGCUUUAGAAACCAGCUUUCAACCUGGCCAACAGAUGUAAAUGUCAAACAGAAAUAAACCAGAAGAAAGUCCUACAAAAUAAAUAACAAUAUAAAAAGGUAAA